GAUGAACGCUAGCGGCAGGCUUAAUACAUGCAAGUCGAGGGGCAGCACGGUUAGCAAUAACUGGUGGCGACCGGCGCACGGGUGCGUAACACGUAUACAAUCUACCUUAAACAGGGGAUAGCCUUUCGAAAGAGAGAUUAAUACCCCGUAAUAAAUUGAACGGCAUCGUUUGAUUUUGAAAGCUCCGGCGGUUUGAGAUGAGUAUGCGUCUGAUUAGCUAGUUGGUGAGGUAACGGCUCACCAAGGCGACGAUCAGUAGGGGAUCUGAGAGGACUAACCCCCACACUGGUACUGAGACACGGACCAGACUCCUACGGGAGGCAGCAGUAAGGAAUAUUGGUCAAUGGAGGCAACUCUGAACCAGCCAUGCCGCGUGCAGGAUGACGGCCCUAUGGGUUGAAACUGCUUUAUACAAGAGAAAACCCUGGUACGUGUACCAGGUUGAUAGUAUUGUAAGAAUAAGCAUCGGCUAACUUCGUGCCAGCAGCCG
rnacentral:rRNA from 1 species